CCUACGGGGGGCUGCAGUGGGGAAUAUUGGACAAUGGGGGGAACCCUGAUCCAGCCAUGCCGCGUGUGUGAAGAAGGCCCUCGGGUUGUAAAGCACUUUCAGUGAGGAAGAACGCCUGGUGGUUAAUACCCAUCAGGAAAGACAUCACUCACAGAAGAAGCACCGGCUAACUCCGUGCCAGCAGCCGCGGUAAUACGGAGGGUGCGAGCGUUAAUCGGAAUUACUGGGCGUAAAGCGCGCGUAGGUGGCUUGAUAAGCCGGUUGUGAAAGCCCCGGGCUCAACCUGGGAACGGCAUCCGGAACUGUCAAGCUAGAGUGUAGGAGAGGAAGGUAGAAUUCCCGGUGUAGCGGUGAAAUGCGUAGAGAUCGGGAGGAAUACCAGUGGCGAAGGCGGCCUUCUGGACUGACACUGACACUGAGGUGCGAAAGCGUGGGUAGCAAACAGGAUUAGAUACCCCUGUAGUC
rnacentral:rRNA from 1 species